UAGAGCAGCAGAGUGUUUGUGGUAGGAAGAGGAGCAGCACCCACCGACUCCUGAACAAGGCUUUUUCACCCACUGUGGUUUUGACCUCCAGUCAGGGUAUGUGAGUGUGUGUGUGUGUAUGUGAGUGUGUGUGUAGCCUCAGCCUGAAUCAGCCGGUAAUUUUGGUGUCAUGGAGCAUCCAGCCUGUGUGAGGUCGGCAGCACUAUCCACUGUGCCAGCAGUUGGUAUCUCCAAGACCUGGCAUCUGGGGCGGAGGAGCUGUUUGAAUGUGCAAGGCGGGUGCUGCCAAGCUGGCCCAUUGUAAGGAGCUGCCCUGCAUUCAGUGCUCACCAGGAGGAAUACCAAUUGACGCUGGGGCUGAAUAAGAUGUUCCUUGAGCCAGAUCUAGCAAAAUUGUGAAGUUUUGUCUUGGUUCCCAUUGGUUUUUUUAAUUAAAUAUCUGAAAAGGGUUAUCACACCCAGUGACCGCGACCUCGCGUGUCCAGCACACCAGCCUUCAGGGAUGUCAAGCCUCCAUCUCCUGCUGCUUCUUUCCUGUGGUUCCAUGUGGGCUUCCAUUCGCAAGGACACCUCUUAGUCCAAGAUGACUGCUCCAGAGCUGCCCAUCACACCUGCAUUCCUGCCAGCCAGAAAGAGGGAUUAGGAAGAUGUGGCCAAGGGCAGAUGCCUGCUGUUUCUUAAGGAAGGUUCCCAGAAGCUCCUACACAACACUUUCACUUACAUCCCACUGCCCAGGCCCUAGUCCUGUGGCCAUGCCUGGCUGUCUCUAUUCGGUUGGCCAGCGCCUGCAAAAUUCAAUUACUGUGGAUGAAGUGAAGAAUAUAUUAGGGACCACCCAUGGUCUCUGCCAUUCAUGUAAUUUCAGGGACUCUGGGCAUGGCCUUUUGCCUUCACUUCCCUUUCCACAUCCCUAGUCCACCUAGCUGAUGUUCUCAACAGCAUCAUCUUUCAUCAAGACAAAGUGGACUUUUUCAUGCUGUGAUUUUCUCCGAGUCACCUGUAGGGUUUCUGGUGCUAGUUCUUUUUCCCAAUAAUCUCCCAGCCCAGCUGAACUGGUAUCAUGGUGAUUCACCUCCAAGAUACCAUUUCUUUCUGUUGUUCAUAUUCAUAGAGAGCAGUAGCUAUUAUAGCAGCCAACAUUAACCGAAGCUUAUUAGAUGCCUAUACUCACAGUUUUUAGUCUUUUUCUCAUUUAGUCCUCAGCAUAGCCCUAGGAGAUAAGUGCUCGUAGUAGAGAUGAAGGGCUAAAGCAGGGAUACACACUACUGUGGUUGUACUGCCUAGCCCUGGCGCUAACCAUGAUGCACACUGCCUCUCCUUAUCUUGUCUGAUCUCCGGGUAGGGCCAGGCACCAUGCUGAUUCCUGAGGAGGAGGCACAUUUCUCUGGGUCCUGGUUCUCAAGGUGUGUGUAUAUAAGGAGUGGUGGUGAGGUGGAAGAAGCUAAACUAAAUUCCCAAGUGAAUAUAAGGCAGUUUGCUAAGCUCCAGAAGAGGUGAAAGUAGGUGAGUUUCGCCAUAGGUGUCCAGGAGACGUAACGUUAAGGCACUAGAAGGGAACUAUAAAACGAGUUAAUUGCUUUACGCCAGCUGCACCUCCUUUCCUAUGGAAAAGGAAGCUGGAGGCCUUCUCCAGCCCCUAUUCCAGUAUAACGUCAUUUCCCUGUGGGAGCCAGGUGGCAAUGGGGCUCCUGCCCUUGAGGAUCUGGUCACACAUGACUGGAAUCCUCAUUCCAUGGCCUCGGGAGAACCCUGAGUCCUUCCUGCAAUGUCUUUUUCUUAGUGCUGGCUUCUGUGAGCCUCCUUUUUGCUUCAGUGCCUAACUGCUGCCUUCCUAGCUCACAUCAUUGUUUUGCAUCAAAGGUCAUUCUUUCUUUUUAUGGCUGAGUAGUAUUCCAUUGUAUAGAUAUAUACACCACAUCUUCUUUAUCCAUUCACCUGUUGAUGGACACUUAGGUUGUUUCCAUGUCUUGGCUGUUGUAAAUAAUGCUGCAAUGAACAUGGGGGUGCAGAUAUCUUUUCAAAUUAGUGUUUUCAUGUUUUGAGGGUAUUAUGCUAAGUGAAAUAAGUCAGAUGGAGAAAGAUAAUUACCAUAUGACUUCCCUCAUAUGUAGAAGAUAAACAAACAAGCAAAUAUGUAGAUAUGGAGAAUAGAUUGGUGGCUACCAGAGGAGAAGGGAGUGGAGGAGGGCGAGAGGGGUAAAGGGGCACAUGUGUACAGGGACGGAUGGAAACUAGACUUUUGGUGGCGAACACAAUGCAGUCUAUACAGAAACUGAAAUAUAAUAAUGUACACCUAAAAUUUACACAAUGUUGUAUACCCAUGUGACCUCAAUAAAAACAAUAG